rnacentral:rRNA from 1 species
GACGAACCGUGCGAACGUUAUUCGGAAUCACUGGGCUUAAAGGGCGCGUAGGCGGGCUCGUAAGUCAGGGGUGAAAUCCCACGGCCCAACCGUGGAAGUGCCUCUGAUACUGCGGGCCUCGAGGGGGAUAGGGGCGUGCGGAACUCAGGGUGGAGCGGUGAAAUGCGUAGAUAUCCUGAGGAACACCGGUGGCGAAAGCGGCGCGCUGGAUCCCUUCUGACGCUGAGGCGCGAAAGCCAGGGGAGCAAACGGG